ACGCUCGACACCUACGGAGGCAGCAGUGGGGAAUAUUGCACAAUGGGGGGAACCCUGAUGCAGCGACGCCGCGUGAGUGAAGAAGUACUUCGGUAUGUAAAGCUCUAUCAGCAGGGAAGAAAAUGACGGUACCUGACUAAGAAGCCCCGGCUAACUACGUGCCAGCAGCCGCGGUAAUCUGAGCGGGCUGGCAAGGC
rnacentral:rRNA from 1 species